UUGCAACAGGGUUCAAUUGAUUAUGAAGACAAUCUGCAACUAAGGUUAACUAUGAAAGCUGUACCAUGCUCAACAGGAAGGACGAGGGCUCUUUGGGGAAAAUGCAUUUCUUGUGCAAGAUACUACAACUUUUUCCAGAAAGAAGGAGAGGGCUGUCCACCGUACUGACUACAACAAAUCUGUCAUUUCUAAACAGUUCGAUCGCAACGAAACAUAUAUUAAUUUAAUUAAAAAAUAACGCAUCAAUAAAAGAGUCUUUUGCUAA